UACGAAGGGUGCAAGCGUUACUCGGAAUUACUGGGCGUAAAGCGUGCGUAGGUGGUUCGUUAAGUCUGUCGUGAAAGCCCCGGGCUCAACCUGGGAAUGGCGAUGGAUACUGGCGGGCUAGAGGUGCGGUAGAGGAGAGUGGAAUUCCCGGGUGUAGCAGUGAAAUGCGUAGAGAUCGGGAGGAAACAUCAGUUGCGAAGGCGGCUCUCUGGACCAGCACUGACGACUGAGGCCACGAAAGCGUGGGGAG
rnacentral:rRNA from 1 species